rnacentral:tRNA from 3 species
UGUCUCAAUAGCUCAGCCGGAUAGAGCAUUCGCCUUCUAAGCGAACGGUCGGGAGUUCGAAUCUCUCUUGAGACGUCC